CGAAGGCGACAUCAUUGAUGUAUACAGAGAAGAGAGUCUGCCAUGGAAUUGAACCCUGUGGCACCCCCAUAGAGACUGCCAGAGGUGCGGACAACAGGCCCUCCGAUUUGACACACUGAACUCUGUCUGAGAAGUAGUUGGUGAACCAGGUGAGGCAGUCAUUUGAGAAACCAAGGCUGUUGAGUCUGCUGAUAAGAAUACGGUGAUUGACAGAGUCGAAAGCCUUGGCCAGGUCAAUGAAGAUGUGGUGAUUGACAGAGUCAAAAGCCUUGGCCAGGUCGAUGAGGAUGUGGUGAUUGACAGAGUCAAAAGCCUUGGCCAGGUCGAUGAGGAUGUGGUGAUUGACAGAGUUGAAAGCCUUGGCCAGGUCGAUGAGGAUGUGGUGAUUGACAGAGUUGAAAGCCUUGGCCAGGUCGAUGAAGAUGUGGUGAUUGACAGAGUUGAA
ensembl:lncRNA